GUGUCAGCAGCCGCGGUAAUACGGAGGGUGCAAGCGUUAUCCGGAUUCACUGGGUUUAAAGGGUGCGUAGGUGGGUUGGUAAGUCAGUGGUGAAAUCUCCGAGCUUAACUUGGAAACUGCCAUUGAUACUAUCAGUCUUGAAUAUUGUGGAGGUCAGCGGAAUAUGUCAUGUAGCGGUGAAAUGCUUAGAUAUGACAUAGAACACCAAUUGCGAAGGCAGCUGGCUACACAUCUAUUGACACUGAGGCACGAAAGCGUGGGGAUCAAACAGGAUUAGAUACCCUGGUAGUCCACGCCCUAAACUAUGGAUACUCGACAUUUGCGAUACACAGUAAGUGUCUGAGCGAAAGCAUUAAGUAUCCCACCUGGGAAGUACGAUCGCAAGAUUGAAACUUAAAUAAAUUGACGG
rnacentral:rRNA from 1 species